AUUUGUUCUUAUGCGGCUGAACCGCUUGCGGAUGUGAAUAUUACUGGCAGGAGUCUUCACACUGUUGCAAGAGCAGUUAGGAUAUCAAUCAACUAUCCUUCAAGUAAAGAAGUAAAAAUAACUUGGAGAAAAAGAGAUUAAAGAACAGAAAGCCCUCCCAAGCAUAAGGAGAAUCUCAGUGAUCCCCGUCGGCUGGGCAAUUAAACUGCUUCACUAGACUUGGAGAAAAACAAAAUGACAAUCUAAUUAGCAGCAGCACAUAUAACGUCCCUGAGAAAAAUAAUAAAUUCACAUGAAGCAUCAUACUGGUUUUUGCAUGUGGAAAUGGUCAUUGCUUGGUACCCAUGUGCUAGAAGGCUUGAUAAUCACUGGAGUUGCCAUCACUGAAGUCACACAAUAUCAAAUCCAGGGUUUCCACUGAGCAGAUAUUGGCAGGGACCAACAAUAUAAACAAUGUGGCUAUA